rnacentral:rRNA from 1 species
UGGGGAAUAUUGCACAAUGGGCGAAAGCCUGAUGCAGCGACGCCGCGUGCGGGAUGAAGGCCUUCGGGUUGUAAACCGCUUUUAAUUGGGAGCAAGCGAGAGUGAGUGUACCUUUUGAAUAAGCACCGGCUAACUACGUGCCAGCAGCCGCGGUAAUACGUAGGGUGCAAGCGUUAUCCGGAAUUAUUGGGCGUAAAGAGCUCGUAGGCGGUUUGUCACGCCUGGUGUGAAAGUCCAUCGCUUAACGGUGGAUCUGCGCCGGGUACGGGCAGGCUAGAGUGCAGUAGGGGAGAUUGGAAUUCCCGGUGUAACGGUGGAAUGUGUAGAUAUCGGGAAGAACACCAAUGGCGAAGGCAGAUCUCUGGGCUGUUACUGACGCUGAGGAGCGAAAGCAUGGGGAGCGAACAGGAUUAGAUACCCUGGUAGUCCAUGCCGUAAAACGGUGGAUGCUGGAUGUGGGACCCUUCCAC